rnacentral:sRNA from 1 species
CUUCUUCAAUUUGUUGCGGACAAAUAAAGUGGAUGUGAGCAUCGAUGCCGCCUGCGGUUAAUAUCGAGCCUUCCCCUGCAAUGACUUCAGUACCCGGACCAACGACAAUAUCGACGUUGUCCUGUACAUCUGGGUUGCCCGCUUUGCCGACUUUAAAAAUACGUCCGUCUUUGACGCCGACAUCCCCUUUGACGAUGCCCCAAUGAUCCAUCACCAGCGCAUUGGUAAUCACAAGGUCGACGGCGACAUCAUUGGUCAAUUGGCUUUGCCCCAUUCCAUCACG